GAAUGGUAGGCACGGAAAUUGUAGGUACUGACUGAUAGUGAAAUGAUUGUUUAAAUGAGUUGCAUAACCAUUUAUGACUCUUUUCAAAUGCUCUUGAACCAGAGGGAUUUGUAAGAGGGCUGUCCAAAAUGCAAGGUGAAAAUGGUCACUGAAUAUAAAAUUCUAUUGAAUCUGGACAGCAGAACUUACUUAUUUUGUAGUAUAGGAACAGUUUUGUGACAAAAAAUAUAAUAUAUAAUAUGUCAAUGUUUCUGGUUUGAGAAAAAUAAAGAUUUCUUUUAUUCUCCCCUUUACUGAAUAGAAAAGUAGCUACACGCAGUGGUGGGUCUAGGGUGGAGGCGGGGUUGGGGGACAACACAGCAGGCGAGUCAAGACUUGAGCUAUUUCUUUCUGAUUGAGAUUGCCAUCGCCAACGCCGAGCUUGGAUUGCCUGCCGAUGUCAGAGGUGAAAUGUUUCAGGGUGUCCAAGGCUUUUUCAUGGUGUCACAAAAGAUGCCCAGUGGGCAGUCAGAAAGUCUUGCUUUUGUUCAAAGGCUGUGCUGCUAUGUUUGGUGUAUGUUUAAAUUUUAGAAGCUUAAAUUCUUUACCAAAGAAAUGUUGAAAAUUAACUGCUGAAAAUUGUAAUUUGUUUUGGUGCAGGGCAAAAUAAAAUGUUUAAAUUUGAGUUCAUAAAUAGGUGAACAUUUUUAGUUUUUGAUUGUUUACAAUAUAUUAACUAAAACAUAUAUCAAUCACCCAAUCCUGUAGUUAUGUCUCCAUGGACGGGUGGGUGUGAAAAUACUGUCAAUCACUUUCAUUGUGCUGUUCGAGGAGCAGUCUUGCUAAAUGUUUAGACUUGUCUUUGUUAUUAUGAUGCAAGUUGUCUUGUUUGUUGUGAAAUUUUCCAUUUUUCAAGCAUCCUAUUGGCUUAAAUCAUGGGUCUAAGCGUGUGUUUAGAAGUGGCUAUGGGUUUGUCUAUAUGAAAGUGGAAAAAAAACCAUGGAGCAUGCUUUUACUUUAUAGGGCGCACAAUUGGGUGGAGAAUUGAGUCUGCAUUAGUCCUGUCCAUGACUGUGCAACAUGAUACUGCAACACAGAACCACAUUAAUUUCCGUUCUUUAUGAUGAAAUGGAUUUGAGCUGAAGGGCAUGCUGGAAGGCUACUGACAGGUCAAAUUAGGCAUUGCAAGAUCUAGUCAAUAAUGGGCACAGAAAUACCUGGUCAUUUAUACCUCUCUUCAUUUAGAGUUUAGAGUAAAAAUGAUUGCCUUGAGAUUGAAGGAUGAGAUUAGAGUAUAGUAUGACUGAAUAUGAAAAUAUUUUGUUUCAACUAUUUUUUUAUGCUGCUACACAUGAAAAGAGUACCGGUAGAUCUAAUUUUUUUGUCGAACUUUUUAUGAAUGUACAUGUGUAUGGUAUUUCAUAUAAUUUUUGGAGUAAAAAGUCUUUAAAUAAGAA